AAACCCAACGUUUUUCUUUGUCUUUCCAGAGCUCAUACGACAAUGGAGAUUCUUCCUGAAUCGUAAUUCUAGGGUUCCUCCCCUUUUCGAAGAACCGACUCUGUUACCAACAAUGGCGGUUUUGAAAAGAAGUGUGACUCGACGCUUUGUUAGUAAUCUUCGCUUGGAGUAUGUUCAUGUCGUUUCAGUCUCGAUCCUUCACCUCUGAAACUGUUACAAAUCACAUUGAUUCAACUUCGUUGACCAAUUAACUCUUCCUGCCCACUCCGACCAAAAUCUCGCAUUCAAUGAAUCUUAUUCAUCUUUCACCUAUAAAAAAGAUGUUGGAAAAGCUAAGUAGGAGAGCUAUUCAAGAGGACUGAUCAUACUCUCUAUGUAGAAAAAACCAUGAGAGGGUUCAUCCAGAAGGAAUGAAACAACGAUCCAAGCUUCUUUGCUCCUUUGAUUCUCACUUUCCAGAGAUUUCUCACGAUCAUAAAAACAACUUUGCAACAGUAGAUUCAUUGGGCUCGAAGAUUGCUCAUGUUACUGCUGUCUGCCUUUACUCAUUCACUUAUUCUAAUCUAUUAUUACUCUCUUGGUUAAAUGUGACUACGUAAUAGCUUCUUGAACACCCAUUAAUUUUUUUCUUUCAGGCCGCCGGUUCUUAAAUGCCACGUCGGGGACACAUAUAUCUUUUGAAAAAGAGACUAAUGCAGGGGCGAUUAAUUUGUUUCUGAAUGGUCUGGAGAAACACUGGGAACAACCCAGAUCCUUCAUUGCUGAGAGGAUAUGCCAAGGUUGAAGCACUGAGCAUAUCUAAGCUGAAUGAGUUCAUCAUCGCAGCCGAGCCUCAGGAGAUUGAAUUUGUCCGCACAGGAAGGGUGACUGGAAUCAAGAUGGACAAAGCCUGGUGUUACGUUUCCUUCUCCAGGUGCGCAAGAAGCUCCAAAGAACUGACUCAUCUUUUACUUGCGUGUCCUGCAACAACACAAGCGUUGUUGGAGUGCUCUGGUACCGGAUGGAGAUGAGCAUUGCUGACAACACGGAUGAGGGUCUAUUUGUGGCUUUUGAUGGAGAGAUGAAGAAACUACAUAACAUGCGCCUAUGAAGCUGGUCAUUUAAUGGCUGGAGAGGGAGUUAACCUAGAGGAGACUCAGCCACAUCCUUUUAUUGCAGGUAUAGUUGGUACGACAUACAGCUUCCAGGUCAGGGUAGACAUGAACAACUUCACUGCCAACCAUCAGACCUUCACUAUCUCUCGCAUGAACAAGCGUGUGACUGUCUGCCACUGACGGACUUUGUUGUCGACGAUGGUGACGAUGAUGACGGAGACGACUUGCCUGGGAACACCUCAGCCCUUCCUAAUGUUGGCAUCGAAGGUAACGAACAUGUGGAAACCUCAUCUGCAGGAACAUCUUCCAGUGGUCCUGCCACCAAGAAGCCUCUCCUUUCAACAAGUGGUCAAGAAGGCACGGAAAGCUUAAGUGAACAUGAUGGAGUUUCUAGAGUCGGUUUUCCUCUUUCAAUAAUGCUUAGGCAUCAAUGUUGGUUUUUUAAAUUUUGAAUUCUCGAGUCAGAUUUCCUUUUUGAAUAAUGCGUAGGCAUCAACGUUUUUUUUUUUAAUUUUCUCCUCAUGUGGAGUUUCCUAUGCUUUUUCUUAGCUAUCGUGAAAAUGGUCUUGAGUUGAAAGCAUAACUCUGAGUUUAAAACCGAAGAAUACAAAUAUAUAAAACUC